UACGUAGGGGGCAAGCGUUGUCCGGAAUCAUUGGGCGUAAAGCGCGUGUAGGUGGUCCGAUCAGUCGGCUGUGAAAGUCCAGGGCUCAACCCUGGGAUGCCGGUCGAUACUGUCGGGCUAGAGUCCGGAAGAGGCGAGUGGAAUUCCCGGUGUAGCGGUGAAAUGCGCAGAUAUCGGGAGGAACACCAAUGGCGAAGGCAGCUCGCUGGGACGGUACUGACGCUGAGACGCGAAAGCGUGGGGAGCAAACAGG
rnacentral:rRNA from 1 species